AGCUUUGCACAGUAGCAGUACUGUGGCCAAUGAGGUUUAUCCAAGGUGCAAUUAUUGCUAAUUGAAAACUUUUCCCAAUACUCCACCAUGACGACUUGGAAUAUAGUCAGCACUGGCAAUUUUUGAUGGUCUCUAUGGAGA